CUAAAUGUUAAAAUAUGGUAACGGAGACAUUUUCACUUAUUUAAUAUGUUAGGUUCCAGUUACUGAUCUUAUACACCAACUAAAUGUUAAAAUAUGGUAACGGAGACAUUUUCACUUAUUUAAUAUGUUAGGUUCCAGUUACUGAUCUUAUACACCAACUAAAUGUUAAAAUAUGGUAA